GUUCAUCCCCUUCCUCCCUCUUCGUUCCUCUCUUCCUCUCUCUUGUAGCCUCAAUCCGGAACUUCAGGAUACAAACACAGUGAUUAGUGAAAUCCUUCCCACCUCAUUCUGGUGACGCCUUUACUUUGCCUAACCCCCCCCCCCCAAAGCAACUUUUACUGUAACAAUGACUUUGGUAAAUAACAACUUGCCCAAUAAUUUUCUUUGUGUAUCAAAAUGGACUGAUGAUGAUAAUGUGAUGUCACAACACUGAAAAGAAAAAGGCAUGGUAUGUCAUGACAUUUCCACCCUGUUUUUCCCUUACAUACAAAACUCUCUUCUGAUGUCAUACAGGUGGAUACCUCCUCAAUAAAAGCUCAUGCUGAAGAGACCAAGACAGACUUGAAGAACACUGCUGGAGAGAAGAAGUUGACGAGAGAGCAUCUCUGAAUUUGUGAGUGAAUAUUUAAACUCCUGUUAAUAUUGAAUCGAAGGAAACAUUUGAAAAAUGAUUGGACAUAAAAUGCUUCUGCUACUUCUGAUUAUUAGUUUGGGGAGCUGUCAAAAUACAACUCCUACAACAACCACAGCUAGUGCCGCAACAACCACUGCUGUCCCAGAAACAACCACAGCUGUCCCAGAAACAACCACAGCAGCUCCAACAUCAACAGAUGCUCCUACAACAACCACAGCAGCUCCAACAUCAACAGAUGCUCCUACAACAACCACAGCAGCUCCAACAUCAACAGAUGCUCCUACAACAACCACAGCAGCUCCAACAUCAACAGAUGCUCCUACAACAACCACAGCAGCUCCAACAUCAACAGAUGCUCCUACAACAACCACAGCUGGUCCUACAACAACCACAGCCAGUGACACAACCACAGAUGUCCCAUCAACAACCACGGCAGCUCCUACAACAACCACAGCUGCUCUGGCAACAACCACAUUAGCUCUAACAUCAGCAGAUGCACCUACAACAACUACAGCUUCUCCUACAACAACCACAGCUGCUCCUACAACAACCACAGCUGGGCCUACAACAACUGUGGUUGUCAAGACAACCCCAGUUUCAGCCUCAACUGGCAUCAGCUACAAGUUUAGUAUUCUCACAAUCUGUGUAGCUUUAAUCAUUCAAACACUUUUCUAGAAUGAGUUUCUCCAAAAGUGGCUUGUGUUUUAUAGUACUUUUAUUACAUUUAUGAUAUAGCAUAAACCUUGCUCAGCGCAUUCAAGACUGGCUUUACUGUUGAUGUUUCACAUGUUUCAGGUUUUUCUAGUCCCUUUGCCCUAAUGCACUUUUAUUUCACUGUAACUAGUAGUGUUUUGUAUUCAUUUGUUCUUUAGUCCCAUUAAAUGAAUGUUAAUUUACUGUUCACUUAAUAAAGUGUUACUUUGCAUUUA